CCAGUUCAGCUCCAGUCUCCGCCACCCUUCUGCUCUCAGUAGGUCACAGCUCUCCCGGCUCCUCACGACAGCUCACCUCCAGAACGGGCACCAGGAAUCGCGCAACCAGCUCGGUCUCUUCAUCACAGGAAGGUAGGUUUUUGGGAUCAGCUACUAGCCAGCAUGUAGAGCUGAUCCCAGACGAGCCCCCAAGAAUCUGUUACACGUACCGGCUGGCACUGAGUAAACAGAUGCUGAUUCUGCAAACAGGUGAAAUAAGUGAGACAGGGCAACUUCACUUCCGACCAUUUCAGCCUCGCUCAGCAGAAUGAGGGAAACGGACCGUGAUGCCGUAAAAGCUGUAAAGCGACUGCUGUAAACACCGCGUUAAGAGUGAAACUCCAUUGAGAAAAACAGGAAUUUUAGAACACAGGAGCUGCUGGAACUCACUUGUACUACCAGUCCCAGAUUAAUUCUGCAGCAGGACAAUGAGUCCAAACACACAAUCAGCAUGAUGAAGAUCUAUCCUCAGAGACAAGAAGAACAAGGAGUCCUGCAGUAGAUGGUCUGACCCCCACACACAGAGCCCUGAUCUCAACAUCAUGGAGUCAGUCUGGGAUUACAUGAAGAGACAGAAGACACUGAGACAGCCUGAAUCCACAGAGGAACUGAGGCAACUUCUCCAAGAUGCUGGAACAAAUUACCUGAGUACAGGUGACUUGGAGAGCCAACACAGAAGAAGAGGCCAGUAUCCUGGGAAGGUGGACAGGAGAUCAGAUGUGUGAUGGUACAAAACGUCCGUCACAAGCUCGUUCCAGAAAUGAAGAGACAAAGGAGGCUCUGGAGCCUCAGAGAGAAGGUUAAGGUUAAGGUCAAGGUUUGUAACUGCACCCACACAUGCACACACAAAUAUACAGCACAUACCCUUCAUGGGCAGCAUUGUGGCUCUGUGAUUAGCAUUGCAGCCCCACAGAAAGAAGAUGUUGACAUCUUCUUGAUGUCUCAAGUCUUUUUUCUGUGUGGAGUUAACAUGUUCUCCUCGUGCUUGCGUGGGUUUUCUCCGGGCACUCCGGUUUCCUCCCACACUAAAAAAAACAUGAAACCAGUUAUACCACACCCUUGGUUUGAUGGUUGUUUGGUUGGUUGGUGUAGAUUUUCUGUGUUUUAAUCUGUGGCAAAUUUCCACGUAACACAUUAUAUCAUGACUAACAGAGCUCCUUUUCAAAAACAAAUACUGUGACACUUAUGGAGACAAAGGAAAAGACAAGAAGUCAGCCUGUCAAUAGAGCUCUCAUACAAAGUUCAACAUACAUAUUCAAAUGGAAAAUGUGUUACUGUAUAUGUUAAAAUAUGUAUUAAAUGUAUGACAAAAGAGACCAUGCAUGGCAGCAAACAAGGCAAGGAUAUAACCUGUGAAACAGAUACAAUGAAGAAGAAUCACCCAUUUACAGAAAUACAUGUUUUGAGUCUUUUAAACUUAUGUUAUAGACUUUUAGAAAAUUCCCUCAUAUUAUUAGAACACAAACUGAAAAAUAGGGUGAUGUAAAGAAAAGUUUGUCUUUUUGUUUGCCAAGGACAUAGUUAGCAUUUUAAAUUAGUCCAACAUUUUUAAAUGUAUGGGAGUUAUUACCAGUGCUUUGCCUAACUCACUAAGAAAGAGUCCUCUCCUCUGGAGCUUUCCGUGGUGCCAACUUGUGUUUGAUGUAGAUCGCAAAUGCAUCAUAUGCUAAACAUCCCAUAUGUUCUAAAAGUAGUCAGCAGCUUGUUUUGCUUGCACAAUGAUGAACUACAGAAGAAAUAACUGAAAUAUUUCAUUCAGGAUAUUUGAUAUCCUUACCACCUGCAUAAGCAGUAUUUUUGUUCAUUUUCUCAAAUGACAAGAUUGUUAUGUUGCUAUGGAGACUUUUAAAAAAUCAAACCACAGAAAAAACUAUGUAAAAUGUCAAAAACUAUCAAUACUGGACCUUUGAAAAGGCAAAACAGUGCUGGACUGUUUCUCUAAAAACAUUGCUGGGUUGCUGAACAGCUGGUUGGGUUAUUUUUGACCCAGGUUUAUUCAUUUUCCUGCUCAUCCAGUGCCAGAACUUCCUGCAUCCAUCUCUUUAUGGCAGGGAAGAUGAAGAUUGUAUAGUUAAUAUGAAUUCAUGGUAACACUUUAUAUUAGUCUACACUUAUUCACCAUCAACUAUUUGCUUAUUUGCAUGCACACUGGCUCCUUAUUAGUCAUUAUUAAGGAGUCAGUAAUAAAAAACUCUGCAUGAUCAUAUGCAUCACAUAUUUCUCUCAAUAACCUCCUAAUACUGCUUACUGAUAAUAGGUAAGGAAGUUAUCUUAUAAGGUAGUAGUAAGACCAGAAAAGUAAUUCUCUCUAGUAUUAAUAAGGAGUUACUGUUACUGCUACCUUAUAAGGUCCAUACUGAGCAAAGCAUAUUAAGGUCAUAAUUCAUGUACAACUUACUUAAUUACAAUCAGUGAGCAGUAAUUAGGAGGUUACUGAGGGAAAACUCUUAGUAUAUUAUAUACAUAUUCUACAGCUACUAGUUCAUUAACUAAGUGCUUUACAAUUUACAAGUGCCAA